rnacentral:rRNA from 1 species
GUAGCUAAGUUCGGAAUUGAUAAGCGCUGAAAGCAUCUAAGCGCGAAGCGAGCCCUGAGAUGAGUCUUCCCUGAUACUUUAAGUAUCCUAAAGGGUUGUUCGAGACUAGAACGUUGAUAGGCAGGGUGUGUAAGCGUUGUGAGGCGUUGAGCUAACCUGUACUAAUUGCCCGUGAGGCUUAACCAUACAACACCCAAGGGGUUU